rnacentral:rRNA from 1 species
GGAGGUAGUGACAAUAAAUCACAAUGCGGAACUUCUGCUUUGCAAUUGGAUUGAGAACAACGCACAACAUUUAUCGAUAAACAAUUGGAGGGCAAGUCUGGUGCCAGCAGCCGCGGUAAUUCCAGCUCCAAUAGCGUAUAUUAACGUUGUUGCAGUUAAAAAGCUCGUAGUUGAAGUGAAGUGUGAAUCUCUUGGAUUUUCGUUUGAAUUUCCUUUAGCUUCAUACUCUUUCCAAAUAGUUUGCAUGGGUAUUUACUUAUCUGUGUAUUGCAUUAGGUCAUUUACUGUGAGAAAAUUAGAGUGUUCAAAGCAUACGUUUGUUUGAAUACAUUAGCAUGGAAUAAUUCGAAAAGGCUUUCAUGUUCGAUUUGAUUGGUUUGUUCGUGAAGGCAAGAUUAAAAGGGACAGUUGGGGUAUUCAUAUUCAAUAGUCAGAGGUGAAAUUCUCGGAUUUAUGGAAGAUGAACAAGUGCGAAAGCA